rnacentral:rRNA from 1 species
CGGGAAGCGAGCGUACACAGGUGCUGCAUGGCUGUCGUCAGCUCGUGUCGUGAGAUGUUGGGUUAAGUCCCGCAACGAGCGCAACCCUUGUGUUUAGUUGCAAACAGGUCAAGCUGUGCACUCUAGACAGACUGCCGUGGACAACACGGAGGAAGGUGGGGAUGACGUCAAAUCAUCAUGCCCCUUAUGAUCUGGGCUACACACGUGCUACAAUGGCCGGUACAACGGGCAGCGAAGGAGCGAUCCGGAGCGAAUCCUAAAAAGCCGGUCCCAGUUCGGAUUGCAGGCUGAAACUCGCCUACAUGAAGUUGGAGUUGCUAGUAAUCGCGAAUCAGAAUGUCGCGGUGAAUGCGUUCCCGGGUCUU